GAAACUGCCUGACCGCAGCUUCAAGCUCUUGCCAUUGGCUCUUCAGGGUCAGUGUCUCUUGCUCAGAUCUUUGGAGAAAAGGACUACUAUUCAUCCCCAAAUGAGGAGGGCAGGCUGACUGGAAUGGAAAAGAGUUGACCUGGACCUGCUGGUUGGAGUUGCUGGUUCCCUUCAGUCAUGCUCAUGUUGACUAUUGGUCUCAUGUGGCUUGUGACUAGAACCUACAUCAAGAAGGAAAAUUCUCUGGGUCAGAAUGUGGCACCACAGGAGUGCCUGCCUAUAGCACCUGCCUUUGACCUGAUGGACCUCUGCAAACACCUUCCCUUCAACCCCUACCAGCCUAAGCCCUAUGCCGAGGUUCCACAUGGUGCUCAAGGCAAGAAUGUUUCUCAGAACAGGGAACUGCAGCUGUGGGCAGAGCAAUCAGAGAGGUUCUGAGGGUGGCUGCUGCCUCUAGAAAGGGUGGGAGUAGAAGACCUUGUCCUUUGGAGGUAGAAACUUCACUGUGCCAUCAAAUCACACACUCAUGAACUUAGGAAGAAGUACCUUGAUUCUGAUUCUGUCACUUCUGUUCUCUGAUUCCAACUGUGUUGUGGUUCCUGACUCUCCCUGGGCAGAAGGCCUAUUUGCUGGGGGGCAGAGGAGGGGGUGUAUCUUGCCUCAAGACUCAGCCUAUAAUUCCAGCAAUGGACUGAGGUAGUCUUCCGGUGACCCAGACACUUCAGGUGAUGAGUGUGGUCCACAGGAAGUGUCCAGGGCAUCAGGAAGCACAUGGUACCAACCUCCAAAGUUGAAUGAGUUUAUCAGUGGACAGAUUAGAGAACUGUUAACAUAGUUUAGAAAACUCAACCUCAGGACUUUUCUCCCUUUGUAUGGGAAAAGAAACUCCCCUAAAAGUAGUGGGUGAGAACUCUUGAUUCUUUUUCCUUCAUACUUGGUUGCAUUUUAUUGGAUUAUAAAAUUGUAUUUAUGGAGAGAUUCUGUCUUCUGUUCUUCAUCUAUUUUGGCUACUACAUGUGCCAGGUUGGUAUCAGAGCCCUACAG